rnacentral:lncRNA from 1 species
GUUUAACUGGAUGUCCUGAAUGUUCUCUGGCCAACCUAGGAGAUGCAACUGGCAGACUAGAAAAUGAACUUCCAUGAGUAGGAUUUAUAUUCAGAAGAACGAAGUAGUAAGAAUAACUGGAGAAAUUUGCGGAUCAAAGGAUCAAAGAAGGACUCAGCUACUGCUACCUGACAUUAAAACAUUUCUAAAGCUGCUCUCCCUACACUGGAGUUGUAUUUGGGAGGAAGUUGGCAGAGAAAGCAACAAGGUGGGACUGAGAAACCAGAAGCACACUGCUGUCCAAGAUGCCACCCUACACACUGGGCCCAGCACAGAUCAGCAGGGAAAGGAAGCAUCACCCAAGACAAGGUGCUACGAACACGUUCUUCAGGAACUUUGAUGGCUCAAAUCGAAGAAGGUUUCAGGAAUGUCAAUGUCAG